rnacentral:rRNA from 1 species
ACAAGCAAACAAGAGCAUCGGGUGGAUGCCUUGGCGUCGGAAGGCGAUGAAAGACGCGGUAAGCUGCGAUAAGCCUCGGGGAGGAGCUAAACAUCCUUUGAUCCGGGGAUUUCUGAAUGGGGAAACCCGGCGGGAGUCAUGUCCCGUCGCCUGCAGGUGAAUACAUAGCCUGCAAGGAGCCAACUCGGGGAAGUGAAACAUCUCAGUACCCGAAGGAAAGGAAAUCAAACGAGACUCCCUCAGUAGCGGCGAGCGAAGGGGGAAGAGCCCAAACCGUGCGGAUUCGUCCGUGCGGGGUUGUAGGACCGGCAUAAGUGAUUCGCGAGUAGGCAGGGGAAGGAGGCUGGAAAGCCUCGCCAAAGCGGGUGAAAGCCCCGUACCCGAACCUGAAAACGACGCUGCCGGCACCUGAGUACCGCGAGGCACGUGAAACCUCGUGGGAAUCUGGGAGGACCAUCUUCCAAGGCUAAGUACUAACCGACGACCGAUAGUGCACCAGUACCGUGAGGGAAAGGUGAAAAGAACCCCUGUCAGGGGAGUGAAAUAGAAUCUGAAACCUGAUGCUUACAAGCUGUGGGAGCCGGGCAUGCCCGGUGACCACGUGCCUUUUGCAUAAUGAGUCAGCGAGUUGAUCUGUACUGCGAGGUUAAGCGCAAGUGGAGCCGUAGCGAAAGCGAGUCUGAAUAGGGCGACAAGUAGUGCGGAUCAGACCCGAAACCGGGUGAUCUAUCCAUGAGCAGGUUGAAGCAAGGGUAAAACCUUGUGGAGGACCGAACCAAUAACGGCUGAAAACGUUUUGGAUGACUUGUGGAUAGGGGUGAAAGGCCAAUCAAACCCGGUGAUAGCUGGUUCUCCCCGAAAUAUAUUGAGGUAUAGCCUCGUGGAUUGUCUAUUGGAGGUAAAGCACUGACAGAGCUAGGGGUCCUACCAGAUUACCAAACUCUUUCAAACUCAGAAUGCCAAUCAGAUGUACCACGGGAGUCAGACGGCGGGUGCUAAGGUUCGUCGUCGAGAGGGUAAGAGCCCAGAUCAACAGCUAAGGCCUCCAAAUCUAUGCUCAGUGGUGAAGGUGGUGACGUUGUAGAGACACCCAGGACGUUGGCUUAGAAGCAGCCAUCGUUUAAAGAAAGCGUAAUAGCUCACUGGUCUAAUGACGUUGCGCCGAAAAUGUAACGGGGCUAAGCAUAGUGCCGAAGCUUUGAAUUCCGCGUAUGCGGUCUGGUAGGGGAGCGUUCUUCAUGGGCUGAAGGCGUGCUGUAAAGCACGUUGGACUGUGGAGAAGUGAUUAUGCUGACAUGAGUAACGAUAAAACGGGUGAAAAACCCGUUCGCCGUAAACCCAAGGUUUCCUGGGUAAAGGUAAUCUUCCCAGGGUUAGUCGGCCCCUAAGGCGAGGCUGAAAGGCGUAGCUGAUGGGAAACGAGUUAAUAUUCUCGUACUUGUGUGUCCGCGCGAUGGAGGGACGCAGGAAGGUAAACGGUCCGGGUGUUGGUAUACCCGGUGCAAGCAGGUAGGCGUGCAGCACAGGCAAAUCCGUGCUGCUCUACGCUGAGACGCGAGUCCGUGGCCGCAAGGCCUGAAGCCGUUGAGCCUCUACUGCCUAGAAAAGCUCCUAAGUAUAGGAUACGCAAACCGUACUGCAAACCAACUCAGGUGGGUGGGAUGAAUAAUCCAAGGCGCUCGAGAGAACUCUGGCCAAGGAACUCGGCAAAAUAACCCCGUACCUUCGGAAGAAGGGGUGCUCUUUUGGGUAAAGUUGAUUCACUUAACCAGCCCGAGGGAGCCGCAGAGAAAUGGUGGUGGCGACUGUUUACUAAAAACAUAGGUCUGUGCCAAGUCGUAAAGACGACGUAUACGGACUGACGCCUGCCCGGUGCCGGAAGGUUAAAAGGAGGGGUCAGCGCAAGCGAAGCUCCGAAUUGAAGCCCCGGUAAACGGCGGCCGUAACUAUAACGGUCCUAAGGUAGCGAAAUUCCUUGUCGGGUAAGUUCCGACCUGCACGAAUGG